UAGCUCCUAACACUAAUCCAAAUGUAUAAACCACAAGUCUGAACUCUAAAUCACACAGGUGUAUGGGAACUGUAUAAUCACAGCCUGACCCUCUGUUUGACCACCUGAGGCGAGUGCUGAGUCAGCUGCAGGGGCACAGGUGAUGGCAGUUUCAGCUGAGUGACCGGAAGGGGUGGACCCUGGCUGCAGCCCUGCUAGACCCCAUGUAAGGGCUGACUCCCAAGGAGGAAGGAUCUCUAUCUGGAGGUCACCCUUAGUGGAGCCCUUCUGCGCGCCCAGGGUACGGGAAAGCAGUGCGGAGGGAACGUGUGUGGUGAGAUGCUGAGGAGAGAUUGCCUUCCUUGCCCCAGCAGGCUGCUUGUGUCCUGGUGAUGCACGGUGACGAGAAGGCUGCUGUUCUGAACAGCACAAGGCAACAGAGACGUUGACAGCAGCGAUGGUGAUGGAGAUGUUGAGAGUGGAGGAGCUCUUGGCUCGCUGCAGCCACCCCAGCAUUCCCGGAGCUCCCUGCUGGCCCCGGAGGAGUCCGAGUGCUCUGUGCUGGAAGAAGAGGAGUCGAGGCUGCUGGAGACAUCAGGGCUCAGUGGCUCCGUGGCAGUGAUGCGCUGCAUCAGCUCUUGCGUUUGGCAGCUGUUUGCAGUGGCUUUGGCCCCCUCUCUUGUGACACCGGGCAGGUCCUGCUUGUGCUGGGGGACCUCCAGAGCACUCUCCAGAGCCGCUUCUGAAAAAGCAAGAACAUCCCCCCGAACGAUGAUGGCAGCCUUCCCACAGCCACUCGGUGCAGGCAGCCACCUCUGGGGGUCACCUCUGCGGAGCACAGUCUCACCGUCAAUCCAGUUCCAAGCAGGUGGGCUCUCAGUGUCUUGCAAGUGCCAUCUAGCAGCAGCAGGUCCAGCCAGGAGGCACAGCACCCUGCAACCUCCAGGGGCCUUUGUGCAGCAGCAGAUGUUGAUGCCCUAGAAGCACGGUGCGGAGCACAUGCCUGGGAUCAAGGUGCCACGGACUGGAAAAUGCUGCUGUGGCGGAGUUCCUGUGUGAAGACAAAACUCCCAGUCCCCCAGAAAUGUGGAGGCAGAAGAGCAGUGACAAGUUCCAGUGGAAGGUCUCUGUUCAGCCAGUCCAGCCUCCUUGCCCAUCAGCUCAUCUUCCAUGACCUGGGGAUGGUCAGCUCCUGCACCUUUAGAAUUACUUCUGGAAAGUACUGCCAGCCUUCCUGGGCUCCCACGCCCUCCAAAAGUACUUCCCAAGGGACCCUCUCAACCAUGGUCCUAAAGAGGUUCAAGUUUGCUCUCUGGAAGUCCAAGGUGGCAGUUCUGCUGACUCCCCUCCGUGGUUCAACAAGGAUUGAGAAAUCUAGCAUCUCACGAUCCCUUUGCCCCAGGCGGCCUCCAGCCUUGACAUCCCCCACAAGACCUUCUCUGUUAACAAACAGCAGGAUUUUGCUUCCCC
ensembl:lncRNA